GUUUAAUCUUUCGGUCCGGUUGCGGUCGGUCGGUAUCGUCACGUGUGUGUGUUUGCUGUGGUUAAGUUUGAACAGCAGUAGGAUUUUCUUGUUACCGGUAUCUUAACCUUCUCGCGACGGCUGAUCUUCCAAAAGCGUACAGAAAGUGAACUGCUUAUAAAACUAAAGAGAUCAUUAUAAAUUUAAAAUUCUGUCUUACUACGAAUAAAAUAAAAUGGAUAUCCAUUGUGAGGAAUGAGAGCUUCAAAACGUGUGAAUUGUGUUGAGCGUAAAGCGAGUGGAGUGAGAAUCGAAGCAUGCAGUGAGUGCUUAGAAAUAAAUUAACCCCUCUUCCUUUUUGAAAAUAGUGAAUCAAAUUUGUAUGGAGUGUGUAAAUCAAGUAGUCUCAGACAGUUUGGGCAGCGAAAAUGUUUAGAAUGCGAAUUCGGUGUUGUGAUAGAAGUGAAGUCAUUAACUCAAGAAGCGCGAUAAAAUGUAGAGUAGCAAGUUUCAUCAUCGG